GAGUUUGAUCGUGGCUCAGAUUGAACGCUGGCGGCAGGCCUAACACAUGCAAGUCGAGCGGAUGACGGGAGCUUGCUCCUUGAUUCAGCGGCGGACGGGUGAGUAAUGCCUGGGAAUCUGCCUGGUAGUGGGGGACAACGUUUCGAAAGGAACGCUAAUACCGCAUACGUCCUACGGGAGAAAGCAGGGGACCUUCGGGCCUUGCGCUAUCAGAUGAGCCUAGGUCGGAUUAGCUAGUUGGUGGGGUAAUGGCUCACCAAGGCGACGAUCCGUAACUGGUCUGAGAGGAUGAUCAGUCACACUGGAACUGAGACACGGUCCAGACUCCUACGGGAGGCAGCAGUGGGGAAUAUUGGACAAUGGGCGAAAGCCUGAUCCAGCCAUGCCGCGUGUGUGAAGAAGGUCUUCGGAUUGUAAAGCACUUAAGUUGGAGGAAGGCAGUAAGUAAUACCUUGCUGUUUGACGUUACCGACAGAAUAAGCACCGGCUAACUCUGUGACAGCCGCCG
rnacentral:rRNA from 1 species